AACUGAUACUACCUGCGGGAACCUGCGGAGGGAUCAUUCAAAAUAAAAGUGAAAUUUUUAUGGCACUUUUAAAACAAUCCAUAUCCACCUUGUGUGCAAUGUUUUUUGAAAGAAGUCUUGUCACAGAGGCUUUUUUUCUUUUAACUAUUAUAAACUCAUUUUAUAAAGAAAUCUCGUCUGAUAAUAAUAUUAUUGAAUAACUUAAUUCAUAAAUAUAACUUUCAACAACGGAUCUCUAGA
rnacentral:misc_RNA from 1 species